CAUAAAGAAAAGCUGUGGGAUUGUCAAUGGGCUGCCUGCCUGUCAUAUUUAACAUCAAAGUGUCCAUACAGAGUUACUGUAUCAUCUUUCUGUGCUAUUGUUACCACAGUUACUCUCUCCUCUCUCCACUUCGCCCUCUAGUGGAACACUCAAUACACUGGAGGAGCUCCUCAAACAGAUGGGAAAAUAGCAAUGCAAGAUUGACCGAAAGAUGCAGGGACCAACAUCCAGCAGCAUUUGGAUGGCAUCACCGGACGUCAACAGCCCUAUAUGCUUGCCGUGGGGCCCUAGAGAACGAGGAUUCAUGCCUACUUCCUCAUGAUCGACAAACAUACGGCACCUUCUAAGGCAUCUGGCUCACUGGGCUGUUUUAAUUUGUUUUUCAAAGCUCACUUUGUAUUCGGUACCUCAUACAGUCAGAGUCUGGCAAACAUGUACACUGUUCUACAAAUGACAAUCUACGACAUUGACGUUGAAACAACUAAGGUGAAUCCAGGGUAGCAGAGCUGAGGGCCAGAAUGUUGCAUUAAACAGAUCUGUUUGGAAAAUGGAAAAUCCUAUCAGUGUAUUGAAUUCUGAAACCAAAAGGUUUAAAUAUUUCUCAGAGAAGUGGGAACUUGUGGAUCCAGUUGAAUAUGUUCUUGGCACAAGAUUUGACAUGCAGCGCAAUAGAACCACUGUAACAUAAAACCAGGUUAUUGUUACAGAUGAAUGUAUGUACAUACCCAUUUUGCUGACGUUAGAGUCUUUAUAAAAAUGCACACAUAAACUAAAUGUUCCAGCCUGUGGAUGGUCCCAGAGAAAGACUUAAAUGAUGGAACGUUCAUUGGGAAUAAUGCUCUAUUCUCAAAAGAGAAAUGUGCAAAACAAGCUCAGCUCCUCUCUGACGACUUUGAAACUCUUAGAUGUGAUGGGUGUUCAAAAAUGUAAUUAAUUACAGUACGUUCAUGCAAGUCAGAAUGUUUCAGUUGAUAUCAUGCAUGACAUCUUGGAGGGUGUUGGGCACGAGUUUAAAUUGCUACUACAGCACUUGCAAAACGAGCAUUUAACCUAAAAAGAAAUGGACAUGAGAAUAUCGAGCUUCAACUAAUGGUUCCUGGAAAGAAACAACAGACCCCCUGCAGUGAAGUUACUUCAGGGUUAGAAUGAUUUGGCAUUAAAUGACAUUCAGUCUUGGUGUCUACUAUGCAAUCUAUCACUUAUCUUUGCUGACUUGGUGUCUCCAAAUGGAUCAACACUGAUAUUUGCUGUUUUUGUUGCUUCGAAUAGUCAACAUUGUUUUUUCUCUAGUGUUAUCAGAUGGUUUUACAGUCUAUGUGAAGCACUUGAUUGCCGAACACCACAGAUUGCUUAAGUAUUUGUUUCCUGGAAAUAGGUUGUUACCCAGGCAUAAUUUUAUGGUGCGUUAUCUGAGAUAUAUUAAUAAAAUCAGCCCAAUUCUCCAUAGCUGGUAUAUGCGCAACAAAGUAAAACACAAAAAUAAAAUGUGACUACAGAAAAGCUUUAAUACAUAACUAAAACAUUGGCCAAGAAACACCAAAGUCACAUGGCAUACAACUAGCAAACGUUUGACCUUGAUAGAUUGGAUAUUGAUCCAGGGGAAAUGGUGUCCUUCGUUGUAAUGGAAGGAGCUCAUGAGAUAGCAAACGCACUCCAGGUGUCUUCUUCCACUAAGGUUUUGAGUGUGAAAUGGGCCAAAAAUCAAGGGAAUGUUCCUGUGAGGGUGACCUAAUGUUACGUAGAGGUUGCACUGAGUGUACAAACAUUAGGUGAAAGCUAUGAUCCCUUAUUGAUCUCACCUGUUAAAUCCACAUCAAUCAGUGUAGACGAAGGGGAGGAGACAGGUUAAAAAAGGAAUUUUAAGCCUUGAGACAAUUGAGACAUGGAUUGUGUAUGUGUGGUAUUCAGAAAGUGAAUGGGAAAGACAAAAUAUUUAAGUGCCUUUGAAUGGGGCAUGGUAGUUGUUGCCAUGUGCACCGGUUUGAGUGUGUCAAGAACUGCAACGUUGCAGGGUUUUUCACCCUCAACAGUUUCCCAUGUGUAUCAAGAAUGGUCCAGCACCCAAAGGACAUCCAGCCUCCUUGACACAACUGUGGGAAACAUUGGAGUCAACAUGGGCCAGCAUCCCUAUGGAAUGCUUUCAACACCUUGUAUUCCAUGCCCCGACGAAUUGAGGCUAUUUCUGAGGGCAAUAUUAGGAAAGUGUUCCCAAUGUUUGGUGUACUCAGUGUAUACUGUUCAGACGUGGUUGUUUGUGUUAAAGUUCAUUGUGAGAUGCUAAUAUUUCAUGAAAUGCAAUCUAUUCUUGUGAAAGAUGACAACUUACUGCUGGUUACCUUUGCUUUAGAUGCGUUUAAAGAUGUAAAGACAAGAAAGGUGAUGAUUCAAGUUUGUUUGUGGUCCCGUACUGCUUCAUGCAAUGUUUUCCCCCACACUUGUACUUAGUACCAGAACAAUUGUACACAUUUGUACAUAUACCUACAGAUGUCAUGUAGAUAGAGUACGGAAUCAAAAUGCCAUGCCCCUGUGGGUAGAAAUUCCCCCACGGAGGCAAGGGGGUAUGGCCUUCAAUUUGUGCUGUCCUGAUUGCUUUUGGUAAUGUCUGUUAACGCUCUAGAAUGUAUUUUAUUGCAAAGAUUGUACACAAUAUAACUACUCUGGUCUGGAAUUCAUUUUGUUUCAAAGAUCAUACACCAUGCAAGUACUGUUUGGGCUGUUUUUGGCAUCUCAUGUAAUAAACCAAUCCUGUUAUACAA